rnacentral:tRNA from 2 species
GCCCCUGUAGCUCAGGGGAUAGAGCGCUACCCUCCGGAGGUAGAAGCGAAGGUUCGAAUCCUUCCAGGGGCACCA